GUAGUUCAGUUGGUAGAGCACGAGACUCUUAAUCUCAGUGUUGUGGGUUCAAGACUCACAAUGGGCA